GCCCAGCAUUGCACAGAACUCAGAAUAUAUCUGUACUGAAACUGAAGUGACCACCUACAACCAGGUGGUAUGCCAGAACCACAGAAAGGAGAUUCACGGUGAUGUGUUUAAAGCAUUGGGCUGGUGACGGUUGCUGUGUAGUAAUGACCUCUUCCUCAGCAAAGAGAGUCCUGGAGCAGGCUGUCCUCAGAAGAGGGAAGGGACUGGUGUGCUCCUUGUGCAGAUAACUUAGUGUAUAAAUCGGCAUGAGUAGCUAUCCUUUAAGGAUUUGUUUGAAGUUACUCUUUGUAAAAAGUUGAGAAUUUUGUGUGCAGUUGGGCACAUGCUUGCCCUUCCCCCACCCGCCAUAGUCCUGCCUCUCUUGCUGUGAACUGGUGUCAGCUACAACACUCCAGCUAGGUCUGAGCUCUUUUGAGAGAAGGUCUCGUAGAGCACCAUUCUCAGAGAGAAGCUAAAGCAUGGGGAGCCUUAGGACGGUCAGGCAAUGCACUCUUUACCACGGCUGGCUAAGGCUGCAGCUUGACCGUCCUUACCUAAAUCAGGUAAGAAUGUGAUUACAGAGCGAGUGCUUGUGUUCCCCGGCCUGCCUUCUCCGAGGAAGAUGCUUCAUCCGAGGAUGAUGCAGAGCAGACGAUGGCUGCACUGUAGGUCUGCCUCCUUCUGUGUAUGGGUUCUGCUGCUGCUUACGGCAUAGGAAAGUACACUAGCAGCGUGCUUCAAUUCUGCCAUCUUUUGAUACUUAUAAAAAUGUAUUAGGUUUUACUGUAUUGUGCUCUCAAAGCCAUAACUCUUAAGAAAUUUGGUUUUUUUGCAUAUUGUUUGCUAAUACUUUGUUUUAAUAAACCUCAAA
rnacentral:lncRNA from 1 species